rnacentral:rRNA from 1 species
GGACGAUAAGACCCUAUAAAGUUUGUAUACUAAACUAGUUUAGAGUGAUUUAGGUUUUUAAAGUUUACUAUUGGGGAGGUGUUUAGUUGGGGCGACUAGGAUAUAAGUUAUCUAACUGUUUCUUUGUUAUAAUCAGAAAUAUUUGAGUUUAUGAUCCUUUUUUAGGAUUAUAGAGUAAAUUACUUUAGGGAUAACAGCGUAA